UACGUAGGGUGCGAGCGUUAAUCGGAAUUACUGGGCGUAAAGCGUGCGCAGGCGGUUCGUUAAGUUCGUUGUGAAAGCCCCGGGCUCAACCUGGGAACUGCAAUGGAAACCGCGCGGCGUAGAGUCCGGAAGAGGAGAGUGGAAUUCCUGGUGUAGCGGUGAAAUGCGUAGAUAUUGGGAGGAACACCAGUGGCGAAGGCGGCUCACUGGACCGGUACUGACGCUGAUGCGCGAAAGCGUGGGGAGCAAACAGG
rnacentral:rRNA from 1 species